UAAGUUUGUUCUGGGUAUAAGCUUUUGUGUGCAUGCACACUUCUUCAGAUACAUGCACACAAAAGCUUAUACCCAGAACAAACUUA